rnacentral:lncRNA from 13 species
GGUGUUUCUAGUAACAUCUCUUGUGAUUCAGGCUUUAUCCUUUGUUUGUUUGCUUCCUUAUAGCUCACCCCCUCUUGAGGAAUCUGACAAAUUCAGGAGGUGAGACCAGAAUUGUGACUACUACCUGCAAAAGCAUCCCUCCCUGCCAAUCCCCCACCAGCAGCCCAAACAAGAUUGGACAUUUUGAGCCUCUCCUCAAGUGACUAAUUCAUCAUUACAUCCACACUGCAUCUGUCACGCUCUAAGUAGAAGCUCAAACAACAUUUCUCCAUUCAAGAAGGAAGGGAAGGAGGAAAAGCAAAAGACCCUGGAUUUUGUUUUGCACUUAGUAAGUGCUUAAUAAAUGUUUAUGAAUGAACA